rnacentral:rRNA from 1 species
AUACGGAAGAUGCGAGCGUUAUCCGGAUUUAUUGGGUUUAAAGGGUGCGUAGGCUGUGCGUUAAGUCAGGGGUGAAAUGCCGUCGCUCAACGACGGAGCUGCCCUUGAUACUGGCGUGCUGGAGUACGGAUGCCGUUGGAGGAAUGAGUGGUGUAGCGGUGAAAUGCUUAGAUAUCACUCAGAACACCGAUUGCGAAGGCAUCUGACGAAUCCGUCACUGACGCGGGGGCACGAAAGCGGGGGGAUAGAACAGGAUUAGAUACCCUGGUAUUCCACGCCGUAAACGAUGAUGACUAACCGUCGGCGAUAGACAGCCGGUGGCCAAGCGAAAGCGAUAAGUCAUCCACCUGGGGAGUACGUCGGCAACGAUGAAACUCAAAGGAAUUGGCGGGG